GACUUUAUGAUCAGUUGCAGACAAGUCUAAAAUUAACCAUCUGGAGGGAUAGAGAUCAUAUGCAAUAUGUUAUAAUUAGAGAUUAUAAAUAAUACAUUAAGUACUAUGCCCUCGGAUAAACUCCUCUAUGGAAAAAUAAAAAAGUUAAUAGGUCAUGAUCUUUAUUAACCUUACUGAGAGUGAAGUUUGUAUGCUCGUAUGUGGGGAUUUACCUAAAUUACACAGCAGAUUCUAUCACUUCCUCUGGAAGACACAGGAGAAAAUCUGGAAGAUGUGAAAGAUGUAGGAGAAAUGGUUCUAAUAUUAGAGAUGACAUGUUUUGUGCUGUUUCGUUCUUCCUUUUUCAUCUUAUGUAUAGGUAAGAAGGGCUCCUGAGAG
rnacentral:lncRNA from 1 species